ensembl:lncRNA
GUCUGGCCAUUUGCAGAAUGCACAGGAGAAUUUGGAGCAGCUGCAGACAAUGGAGACGUAGCCAGGGCUGUUGGCUACCAGCAGCGUCGCUGAAGACAUUGGGGCCGGAACCACCGGCAGCUCUGAACUGGGAAGAGGAGUCUGUGCCUGCAUGAGAGAGGGGCCUCCAGGCGCAGCCAUCUCUCCUGCACUUUGGGAUCUUGCUGCAAGCUUUUCGUUGAGUGAGGAGGGGAGCCAUCCGAUGGUCAGAGGGGCUCAGACCUAGAAGAGGAGUCCCUGGAGUCCAGGGAAAGGGGCAGGCCAGGGCCCUGAGUGGAAGUGGAAUGUUUGGAUUGUCCCUGAACCUGGCUGCACCUUCACUCAUUCAUACGUGCGGUAAACACGACUUGACGCAUGCUGUGUGCUGGGCCCGCCCAAGAGGUGCUUAAACGAGACACUGACCUGCCCUCAGGGAGAGGGGCACGCGUGUAAUUCCUCCAAAGCCAACAGAGACGUCACAGCCAGGCUCAACCACUGCAGCUGGCCCUCCACUAGCCUCUAGCAGAGUUUCAGAAAUCCCUGCCGGGAACGGUGGUCGCUCGGAGAAAGCUCUUGGACAACACCCAAGAGGACAUUUGGGCUUUGCCCCAAGGAUAAAAUUUAAAGGUGGCCAUGGAGGCAACCAGGAAAGGACUGGAGCAGUCAGGAGGCAGCUGGCUCUUAGGGGGAGAAGCCAGCUCCGGGGCAGUCUAGGUAAUGAACUUCUCCUGAUGCUGGCGCUUAAGACUGAGUCUCCCCCGUCAAAAACGGACACGAAGUACGUUUCAGUGUUGGGCUUGGGAGCCGACUAGGCCUCUUCUCCUGCCCCGUUGUCUGUGAGUCGUCUCCUUGUAAAUCCAAAGUGAGAAACCUGGAGCUCAACCCUCGUCACUGCCCGAGUCUCCCGGCAGAAAAGCCCCCCAGCGCUUUCCUGACUCAACCAGACCCAAUGCUGUCUGGGCGGCUACCUGGAAGCACCCUCUUUGGAGGGGUUCUCUCUGCACACAGAAAGCGGGGGUGAGAGCACCCCUCCACUGAGGCUUUGGAGAGAAGGGGCCUGGCAGGUGUCAGUGAUGCUGUUCCUGGGACCCAGGGACGUGGUCUCCAGAACAGGAACCCUCCCAGAGCAAGGAACUUCCUCACUUUGGGUUGUCUGGGAAGGGAACCUGCAACAAGCCUGUACUGCUCUCUGAUUAGAAAGUAAAGAUCCAGGCUGGGCCCGGUGGCUUUGGGAGGCCGAGGCGGGUGGAUCACCUGAGGUCAGGAGUUCGAGGCCAGCCUGGCCAACAUGGUGAAGCCCCGUCUCUACCAAAAAUACAAAAAUUAGCUGGGCGUGGUGGCGGGUGCCUGUAAUCCCAGCUACUUGGGAGGCUGAGGCAGGAGAAUCACUUGAACCUGGGAGGGAGAGGUUGCAGUGAGCUGAGAUCACGCCACUGCACUCCAGCCUGGGGUGACAGAGUGAGACUCUUGUCUCAAAAAAAAAAGUGAAGAUCCAGGUGAUCCACUCAGGUGUGUCACUUCUGCACUGAAGCAAAGCCUUGCACUUUAUAACUUGGUGACUUUUAGGUUUGGGAGGAAGCAAAAGAGGCAGGGGUCAUGGCUGCUGAUUUUAACCAGACUGAAAUGGCUGGCAGAAGCCACAGAACCUGAGGAUAGUCGUACUAUUUGUUUCGUAUUGCAAUGAAAAUGUCUUCCUAGCCGGGUGCCGUGGCUCACGCCUGUAAUCCUAGCACUGUGGGAGGUCGAGGCGGGCGGAUUGCCUGAAUUCAGGAGUUCCAGAACAGCCUGAGCAACAUGGUGAAAUCCUGUCUACUAAAAUACAAAAAACUAGCUGGGCGUGGCGGCAUGCACCUGUACUCUCAGCUACUCGGGAGGCUGAGCAGGAGAAUGGCUUGAACCUGGGAGGCGGAGGUUGCAGUGAGCCAAGAUCGUGCCACUGCACUCCAGCCUGGGCGACAGAGCAAGACUCCGUCUCCAAAAAAAAAAAAAAAAAAGAAAAGAAAUGUCUUCCUACAGUUAGUCAUUCCUUUAGCCAGGAAAUGUUUAUGGAGUCCCCGUGACGUGUCAGGUGUUGGACCAGACACUGCUGAGACAGGGAUGAGCAACACAGACGUGAUCCCUGCCCUCGAGGGUAUCCAGUCUAGUGGGCGUUAUCAAAUGAUCACGCCUGUCAUUGCAGGCGGAAUGGGGUGUUGGAGAGGUCAACGAGGAGUAGCCAGAUAAAGUCUCCCCAAGGAAGCUACCUGUGGGUUGAAAUCUGAAAGGUUAUAGCAGCCUAAUUAGGUGACGGGGAAGCAUUCCAGGUGAGGUAAGCACAGGUGUGAAGGGACGCUUUGACGUGGGAAGGAGCAACGAAGAAGCUGGGUGAAGGCGGCAGACAGGAGCCAGGUUUGGCCAGGCUUUUGUCUAAUCAAGUUGACUGUCUUUAGCUGUGAGGGUUGCCCCUUUAGACUUUGCUUCCUUAGAGGACUUACCCUCGUCGUUUCUUCAAGGCUGGCCAAGCCUUCCAGUGACCUCCUGACUGCCCAUCAGGGCCCCCAUGCUCAGAAAAGCCAGAGAUCCCAUGACAGCUUCCAGACAGUGUCACACUCUUCCAGUUUCCUUGCUUUUUGCGCAGCCCCCAGCUCCCACCGUUUUUCUGCAUAAUCUUGGUUCAAGAGUGGGAGGCUCAUUAAUCUGACGGAAACUGGCUUUUAAAUGGGGAGAAGUGAAGCAGGAACUGGAGCUCCUUUCAGACUUGGGAAAGCCCUUCUCCCUGGGCACUGGUUGCCUCACUGGGAAGCUGAGAGUGCCAGCCUCUGGAGCUCCUUUCUGUUCUGAUAUUCUAGGAGCACGUGAAUUGCCUCUGCUUAUGUUCAGGCCCCAUCCUAAACCCAGCCGUCCGGCACCGAGCGAUCCCAGGCCUUUGGGAAUGCCAUGAUGCUGCCCAAUGGGAAAUUUGUACACUGGGUGCUAUCCAUGUCACAUCAUGGGGACCAGCCAUGAAAGAGCAAAGUGACCUCCACGUCUGAUGCUGGGGUCAUCAGGACAGACCCAUCAUGGCUGUCUUUUUGCCCCACCCCCUGCCGUCAGUUCUUCCUGUCUCCAGGGCUGGCUUCCCGCACUAGGGAACGGGUUGUAAGUGGGGAACACGACUUCCUUCCAGAGUCCUUGAGCACCUCAGCUAAGGACCACAGUGCCCCGUAGAGCUCCUAGAUUACCU